rnacentral:lncRNA from 1 species
CUUGCUUUAAUCUACUGCACUUAAUAAACAUGAAAACAAAAUAAAAAGAGUGUGUAGAUAAGUAUGCUUUAUUUUCCUGCUAAGUUUAAUUUCUAGAAAAUAAUAAAAAGACCAAAAAUAUGCAUGAUGGAAAUGAUGAACAGUUGCUCUGUUUGCUUACUUACAAGUACCUAGCUUUUAUAUUAGAAUUCUUCCAGGAAUUACUAAAACUAAAAUUACUAUCUUUGGGAAAGCAUAAACUAAAGUCUAGGUAAGAGAAAGGCAUGAUAUAAAGUUGAGCUACUGUUUAUCUCGUUCCUACUACACUAAGUUCUGGAGAUUUAUUUUUGAAAACUUACAGAUCACAUGAUGAGUUCCUAGCAUAACAAACUACCUACCACAGCCAUACUUGCUAUAACAUCUUUACUAUAUUCACAUUGAGUUUGAUCGAGCUGUGUUGACCCUUAGGAGCUUUUCAUGUGGUUAAAUUAAGAUAUUCACUUGCACGCAUCUACCACAGCAUUCAUUAUCAAUCAUUAAAAUUGCUAAAAAUAUUAUCACUCACUGUCCCGAAUAUUGUUAUUCUCUCUCUCUAAAAGGAUUCAAUGCAGAAGAGGCAUGGGUUAUGCAAAAAAAUAUAUAUACGAGGAAAUAAAAAGGGGCAAGUGCCCGGAACCUCGAUAAAAGAAAAAGAGUGAGACGAGAGGUAAAAAUGGACAAGUGUCCGAAGUAGAAUUAGGGGUACAAAGAUGCCCACUUGAGAGGUAAAAAUGGACAAGUGUCCGACAGUAGAAUUAGGGGUAUCUAUUACCCACCUGAAAAAAAAGAAAAGAGAGAAAAGAUAGCCCAUGUUCUCCCAAGGCAAAGGUAAAAGAAGAGGAGAGAUAGCAAUAUGAGGAGCAAUGAGAACUAAGAUUUAUUAACACUAUCACCAUCACUAUCAUUUACUCCACCACACAUGCACAUCUUGAUUUAAUUAUAUGCUGAGUUCCUUUGGAUCCAUGGCUCGAUUAGACAACAUAUGUAUGAGCUGUUUGCACUCCUAUGAGCUCCACUUAAUUAUUCCAUUAGCUAUAGGUAAGUGACAUUAUGGUAAGGAUCCACAAAUACCACAUAUAGAGAGACUUGAGAGAAUCAUUGCUAGGAACUCUGAGUUUUAUUUUGAUAACUUAUGAAAAACUCUAGAACAAAGGUGAAGUAUAGACAGGAGGGAUAGUGCUUGACUUAACUAUUUUGUCUUUCGAUUACUUAAGAUUUAAGUGCAGGUACUAAACUUCAUAACACUUCACUUUAAUCUGGAAGGAUUUUUAUGUAAAAGCAUGUGUGCCUGUCAGGAA